rnacentral:tRNA from 1 species
GGUCAGGUAGCUCAGCUGGUAGAGCGUCCGCCUGAAAAGCGGAAGGUCGGCGGUUCGAGACCGCCCCUGACCACCU